rnacentral:rRNA from 1 species
AGCACAGAGGAGCUUGCUCCUUGGGUGGCGAGUGGCGGACGGGUGAGGAAUACGUCGGAAUCUGCCUAUUUGUGGGGGAUAACGUAGGGAAACUUACGCUAAUACCGCAUACGACCUACGGGUGAAAGUGGGGGACCGCAAGGCCUCACGCAGAUAGAUGAGCCGACGUCGGAUUAGCUAGUUGGCGGGAUAAAGGCCCACCAAGGCGACGAUCCGUAGCUGGUCUGAGAGGAUGAUCAGCCACACUGGAACUGAGACACGGUCCAGACUCCUACGGGAGGCAGCAGUGGGGAAUAUU